AGAGAAGUGACGGUGGUACGAGCGGAGCAGAGGAAAAGAGAUGUUAGACAAAGUGUUACUGGCUGCACAGAGAGUACGGAGGAUACAACAUGGAGGUAUGCGCUGCCUCAGCCUCAGUGUCACAGUGCAGUUGGUCUUCCUGAAGAAUAAGGACAAUGUUAACAAUUUUCAGAUAUAGAUAGAGAAAUGAAGUCAGAAGUUGGCACAAAUCCAUGGACUCAUCCUUCUUGGCAAAGUUUCCUUCAGCCCCUUAAUACCAACUGAACAUCACUGUAACACCACAUUGUUGCUGGACAUAACGCCUCUGUAGUGCCGCCACCCCAAGUAAAGGGCAGAAGAUGGUAUUUGAGCACUGGAAACCUUUAAAGAGAAGUUGCAAAAAAGCAGGUCGGCAGGCUGGAGUACGUACAAAAAAGGUGAGAUGUAUUUAUCAAAAAUAUUAACUAAACAGAGGCAAAAAUGAAUCCCAGGAAAUCCAACAAAAAUAACUUAAGCCAUAUUAACAAACAAAUAAAAUCUACAGCGUCACAGAAAGUUGCCACCUCUCUAGUCUCUUCAAUAGACUAGUGACUGAUCUGUUACCUUCUCAGCCUCACCUAAGUGGAAUGUACCAUGUUAGGUUACCGUAGGGUGAGCUAGACUGAUACUACAGCUUCAAAAAAUGAAAACAACAUUGGUUACACACACAGCUAUGAGUGUACCAAAUUAUACAGAAUGUCAUUUACUACAGAACAGUUUUAUCAUUCCUACCUCAACUUGACGGAGCCUAGUGACUCACUACUACCAGUUACCACUACCACUGACUAAGGAGAUGAUCUGCCCAUCAUCACAGCUGUCAAAAAGAACGGGACUGAAGCCCUUCAACAACUGAAACCCAUAUUACAUUUGUGCGACAUGACUGAAAUUAACACAAACAUUAGACUGACAUUAGUGAUUUAACACAAAAACACUAGUAAUGUUGGGAACCAGGGCUUAGUGAAAAGCGAGAGGAGUAACUUUUUCACAGUCCCAUUGGCAAAACUGAAACUCAAAAACAAAGCUAAACCACAUUAGACGUGUAUUUUCAUCUCUCAUAUGAGGCAAACACUUUUGCUGUCAGCAGGCUGCUGUGUAAGUUCACUGUGACUUUCUCAUGCAGGAUCAAUAGUUCACACAUGUGGCACGCCCCUGAAACGUCAAGUGGAACAGUCACUUUACCUCAGGCAAGUCUCACUCAACACUUGUCCUAAACAAAUGAUUUGAUUUUACACCAAAUCAAAAAAUGUCCAUUGGGCUCUGCUAUCAUCCUAAAAAAACACCGUACACUACUUUUUUUCCCUGGGGGCUAUUUGAAGAAAGAGAUGUAACUUUUUUUAUCUUGUUUGGCAAGAAAGGUGCGCCUCAGGGUGUGUCUAGACUCUGUAAACAAGGGUUUCCAGGGAAACACUACACAGCUAAAAGAGUCCUGGCUUUGAGACAUUUACGUCAGAAGAAGUCACGCACCACUAGCAUUACACCAGUAUGUCUUUCAUGUUAUGCACCUGCUUUUUAGGACUCUGCUGAUUGUCUGUCACUCACCGCCACCACUGCGCUCAUUAUCACACACACAUCUAUUUCCUCCAUUGUUGUGGCUCUUUAACAUGUGUUUAACCAAGCAUAAUAAAUACAAUUACACAAACACAGUUACACUCUAUAUUAAAUACAGUUACACUCUAAAGAGUGCACACACACAUCUGGGACUGUGUUUUUAUAAUUUAAAGGACAUUAAGGGUAUAAUAAUCAAUUACACUGUCAUUAAAAAUGUUCUAAUAUAGGAACAUAUAAAAAGGUACAUGUUUAACUUGUUUUAGGCUACAUAAAAAAUAGAUUUAUAUUAUCAAUGGAAAACACUAGGACCUGAGGCCUGGAGACAAACUACACUGGCAAAAGAUUUAAACUUGAAUUUGAUCCUUCCUUCACAACCUAAUGACCCAAAAAUGUUUUAUUAUUUUUGCAGCAAUUAUUUAAUACCUUUUUGAUGCAGAAAACAUAAAUAAAUGAUUUUAUAACAUAAAUAA